UUUUUUGAAAAAUAGCAUAAUAAAUAAAUAAUAAAUAAAAGUCUUACCAAUCGCGUUGCCUCCUACCAUUGUUGGAGUCCUCCUCUGACCCUGAAUGCUUUCGAACCUAUUAGGGUUUUCACCGAGGCUUUGGCGAAAGGAAACGUGGGGUGUGUGAAGAGCAAGUGUUCUUUUUUAUUUUUUUCUCUUUUUAAAAGGCUUAGCCUUCGGAUCUAGCUGUCGUCGAUGACCGGUGGUCAUAACGGAGCGCCGACGACCUUAUGGCCAAACAUAGAGAGCAUUGAGAGGGAAUAGAGAGUUUUUUUAACAAAAAAAAGGUUUCAAAUGAUUUUUUAGGAUUUUUUUUACUUAUAUA
rnacentral:lncRNA from 1 species